rnacentral:rRNA from 1 species
AACCUCCGCAAUGUGAGAAAUCGCGACGGGGGGAUCCCAAGUGCCAUUCUUAACGGGAUGGCUUUUCAUUAGUGUAAAGAGCUUUUGGAAUAAGGGCUGGGCAAGACCGGUGCCAGCCGCCGCGGUAACACCGGCAGCUCUAGUGGUAGCAGUUUUUAUUGGGCCUAAAGCGUCCGUAGCCGGUUUAAUAAGUCUCUGGUGAAAUCCUGUAGCUUAACUGUGGGAAUUGCUGGAGAUACUAUUAGACUUGAGACCGGGAGAGGUUAGAGGUACUCCCAGGGUAGAGGUGAAAUUCUGUAAUCCUGGGAGGACCGCCUGUUGCGAAGGCGUCUAACUGGAACGGUUCUGACGGUGAGGGACGAAAGUUAGGGGCGCGAACCGGGAUUAGAUACCCGGGUAGUCCUAACUGUAAACGAUGCGGACUUGGUGUUGGGGUGGCUUUGAGCUGCUCCAGUGCCGAAGGGAAGCUGUUAAGUCCGCCGCCUGGGAAGUACGGUCGCAAGACUGAAACUUAAGGAAUU